AUUGAACGCUAGCGGCAUGCCUUACACAUGCAAGUCGAACGGCAGCGGGGGAGCUUGCUCCCGCCGGCGAGUGGCGCACGGGUGAGUAAUACAUCGGAACGUACCCAGUAGCGGGGGAUAGCCCGGCGAAAGCCGGAUUAAUACCGCAUACGCCCUACGGGGGAACGGGGGGGAUCGCAAGACCUCUCACUAUUGGAGCGCCCGAUGGCUGAUUAGCUAGUUGGUGGGGUAAAGGCCUACCAAGGCGACGAUCAGUAGCUGGUCUGAGAGGACGACCAGCCACACUGGGACUGAGACACGGCCCAGACUCCUACGGGAGGCAGCAGUGGGGAAUUUUGGACAAUGGGCGAAAGCCUGAUCCAGCAAUGCCGCGUGUGCGAAGAAGGCCUUCGGGUUGUAAAGCACUUUUGUCAGGGAAGAAAUCGUUUGGGUUAAUACCCCGAGCAGUUGACGGUACCUGAAGAAUAAGCACCGGCUAACUACGUGCCAGCCGCCGCCGUAA
rnacentral:rRNA from 1 species